CGAAAAUCUUCUCUUCAUAUUUUGGCUUUGAAACAAAUGUCAUUUUCACACUGAUAUUUCCAUCUUGCUUAGUUACCCCCCAUGGUUACUGUUCGGGGAUAACUUGCCUUUAUUUAAUUAAUAUGUUUAAUUGAAUUAUCCCCUUAAUAUUUCCCACGUACGCCCUUUACUUUCUGUCAGACAGAUACAGUCUCUCCCUCGUCCAUUCGCGACGACAAACGCAGUAAUGUUAGGUAAAUGUUUUCUCAUAGUGGAAAUAUUCUCGUGGUUUAUCGCGACACUUGACGGUAGCGUGAGCGGAAUAGAAUGUCGUUACCAUAGAAACGCUGCUCUCAGUAAAGUCAAGUUAAAAGCAGAAAUUGUUAAUAAUGAGACGAUUUUAGAUCUUUAAGGGGUCGACUUCUUAUUUUUUCGAAGCAGUUAAAAAAAAAAAAAUAAACUCAAGCUGUUGGCGAGCUGCUUCCUCUCGGCUCCCACCACAUAGUGAUUCUUCUCGAAGGCUCUCUCCAGACGGAGGAGCUGCGAGGGAGAGAAGGCCGUCCGGAUGCGCUUGGGUUUCCUGGCAAAAGGACCGUGGAGGAGCAGGCUGUCCUGGGACACAUCGUUACCUGAAACGGGAAGUGGGGCGUCAGUCGAGACUGGAGAAGAAUUCCUGGCUGGAGGCUCGAGCUCUCCACCACUGUGUUGUCGUCCAUCUGCCGGCUGCCGGGCCUCCUCCAUGAGCAGAUGUUCACUCCUUCUUCCACGACCUGAGCCUGGAGGUGUGUGUGUGGUGGUGGUGGUGGUGUUGGCUGACCAGUGGAGAGAUGACCCACACCAUGGGAAAGUCUGCAUUGACACUAGUAGAGACAAAACAGAGGGAACAAUGGUAUGGAUGAAUACCCAGGAGGUGGAGGGGCGGGGGAAGCAGUGGCUGGCUGACCGUCUCCAUGCAUACAUAACCGUCAUUCCUCUGUGGAGUAGAGCAGCAACAUCCAUGACUCCUCAUCUGGAGAGAGGAUGAUCAUUUGUGGUCAUCAUCUGUACGUGUUUUUCAAAUGUCUUGAUUAAAACUAAGAUAAACCAGAAGAACCUUAUAAAAGACUGGUGACAAUCCUUCGAUAAGAGGUGUCACUACUUUAAAGUGGCGGCCCAAAUCCUCCUUUACUGUACACACAAGAAAGGAAAAUGUUUUACGACAACAUAUCUGCUUUGGAUCAAUUUACAAAUGUUUAUCUGGAAAAACCUUCUUAUCUGAACAGUGUGAGAGAGGGAAACCAGAAAUCCUGUGGGAAGGGGAUUUCUGCUAAUAACAGAGCAAAUCACAGCAUGAGGUGCUGCUAACGUGUGGAAGAACACAUGACAGGAACUGUUGAACAUCUUGGGAAAAGCAGUUAUUUGCCUUCUUGCCAAAGGGUAGAUGAGAUGAUUGAUACCAUUCCCAUGUUUGUACAGUAAAUAUGAAGCUACAGCCAACAGCUCAUUAACUUAGCAUAGUACAGAGAGGAAACACAAAAGAGAGCUAGCUAGCAUGUCUUUGUCCAAAGUUUCAAAUCAUGCACUUAAUGUUCCAACGUCUUGACUUUGACAUUUCUGUUUGUGCACAGAUUAAACAAACAAGAUUUUAAAAUGUUAGUCGGUAAAAUCUAGACACGUUGUUUGGUGUAUAUUUUUUAAAAUGUUGGACAGCGCUAGGUUAGCUGUUUCCCCAUGCUUCUGUGUUUAGCUAAUAACCUGUUAGCUUCAUUUUUACCCUACAGACAUGAGAGUGGUAUCAGGCUUCUCAUCUAACUUGAAGCAAAAUGUCAGUAACUGGUUAGCUUAGCAUAGUGCCUGGAAAGCAGGAGAAACAAUAUGCAUUCGAGUGCCUCUAAACCUUGUUUUAAGGUUUUACAUGCUGGAGCUAUAAAACAACAACCCGACAAGUUUUCCUUUUUGGUUUGUGUCCAGAUUGAAGUAUAUAUAAGAUGUUAAUCAGUAACACUUAGACGUGCUGGUGCCAGAUUUUUAAAAAACAACUUUGCACAGAUCCAAGAUAACUGUUUCCUGUGUUUCUAGUUUUCAUGCUAAGCUAAGAUAAUUGCCUGCUCGCUCUAGCAUGGACAGAUAUGUUUGCAUCUAACUCUCAAAUGUUUAACUCUUCUAUUAACUGCAAUGAAAAGUGUUUUGCUUCUCCUAUCUCAGGAUUUCUGCUUUCCUGCCAGAGGACUUUUCAGAUAAGAACUUUUUUCCAGAUAAGCAUUCGCAGGCUGAGCCGAUGCAGACCUGCUGCCGUUGUGUCUUGUGUGUGUGUGUGUGUAUAUCGAACCAAAAUAAUGGCAGCAUCUGAUGUGGCAUUAUUCAGAUUUAUCACUGUGAAACUUCUCAGUUCCUCUUUAUGUGCCGGUGGUAUCAUGAAGAACUCAUCACUUAAUAAUCAUGUGAAGCCACAAGGGUUAACGGGCUUAAAGUGAUGCUGUUUUCAUGGGUCUAACUUUGUUUGUGCUGUUAUUGUCUUGGAUUUAACUGGAGUGGGACAACAAGGGAAAUUGAAGCGAUGAAGUGUUUCAUCACAUAGACCCUAAGGCCUUAAAUAACUGUGAUCAGGCCACAGAGAAAACACACGGUGUCAUUUACACACUUUUCUUGUGAGCAGCAGUGUGUGAUGUUAAUUAGCCAGAGCGCGGUGUCAUCAGUUUGCGGUGUCUCCUCCGUCCAUGUGACAGUCUGGGUGCUCUGUAAUGAAGCUGCCACUGUGCUAAUGACCUGUUUGAACUAGUGUCAAUGUUAAUGCAGAUAAGACGAAUGCAAAUGAUCGAGCUGAGUGUCCAAUCGAGUGGUCAUCGACCGUUAGUACCCUGCACUGAGGUGGAGGUUGUCUGUUAAUUGUCCAGUGUUGGUAAGAAGAUCCCUCCCUUAAGUACAACUUUGAAGUACUUGUACUUUACCUGAGUAUUUCUGUUUUAUGCUAUAGUUUAUAACUAAUACUCCAAUACAUUUCAGGGGCAGUUUGUAUAUCUGAGAGGUAUAAGUAAUAUUUCUUUACUGAUUAAGAUUUUACAACCAAAAUGUAUUAGUCAGUUUAUAAAAUAUGAUGCGUUAAAGAUUAAACUGCUCUACAGUUUAUAAAGUCGUUUUAUUAGCUCCCUCUCGACUAGUUACAACAUUUAAAUGCUUCUUACAUGUUAAUGCAGCAGUAAUAAUAAUAAUAAUAAUAAUAAUAAUAUAUAUAUAACAGGCAGUAAUAUAACACUGACAGGGUUAGCUGCAUAAUUCUGAUACUUUACCACUUUUAUGGGUCGAAGUUUGAUUUCUGUGUGAAGCAGCAGAGGGUUUGUUUCUGCUUUUAUUUUGUGCGUCUGUACUAUUUUGAACCUUUAGGACUUUACUAGUAUUUAAAUAUCUUUGCACAGCAAUUACAUGUCGAUUUAUCUGAGUAGAAUUACAUUUGUUUUGAUUUCAGUGGAGAGUUAGAGUCACAUUAUUAUCUGUAUGCAGCUUCAGCGAGAAUAAAACACACUGAAUCCCUGUUAAGUCAAGUCAAGUCAAUUUUUAUUUGUAAAGCGCCAAUUCGAAACAGAAGUUAUCUCAAAUAGAGCAUAUUUCAAAUAGAGAUUAAUUUCAAAGAGACCCAACAAUUCCCACCAAUAUAUAUAUAUAUAUAAAGGACAGUAUUGGCAGUAACAGCAAUAAUGAUUUUCACAUUUUCAGCAUUUUCACAAAUAAUCUGCAGCUUCUGUCGACAAAAUCCAUCUGUCUUUCACAAAGGUCACCUUGAGAACAGAGACUGAGACAGAAGACUUUACUGAGCAAGUAGUGUUCUUGUGUGUGUGUGUGUGUGUGUGUGUGUGUGUGUGUGUGUGUGUGUGUGUGUGUGUGUGUGUGUUUGUGUAAGCUUCCCCCUCCCUUUGUAGCUACACCCUCUACCUCCAACUGUAAAUGAAUGGUUUUGAAAACAAUGCAGACCGCUGAGUAUUGAAGCCAUCAGUGGGGAAGAAUCAUUUAUGAGCGUCCCAAUUACAGGUUAACACAACUGCCUGCAGAUAACCACACGCUGGUCGUCUAAGUGAGUCACAGUGUGAGAUAAAUACAGAUAAGAUUGGUCCUAAUACACUGCAGUAAUGAACUUUAUCCUCAGAGAACUUUUUUUUAUAGCAGCACUUAUGAAAGUCGAAAAGGUUGGUUUUAUGUCAUUAGCUCAGGUUGUUUCAAAGCUCAUCAAGUCUUUAACAAGUUAUGGGUUCAAUGAUUGAACUGUAACUACACAAUUACACGUAUUCUGUGCAGUUGAUCUUUGUGUUAUGUUGUCAAUGCAACAGUAAUGUAGGAUAACUUUGACAUAAAUUUAAUCUGGCUGGACGUGCACUGUGAUGGAUUACAAUAGGCUGCUGGUGGGUUUUCAUUAGCCUGCUUUGCAUAAUGCAUAAUAUUUACUACUUACUUAAUAUAUUUCUCAUUUAAUUAGCAUGUGAAGCCAUGAGGGUCACAGGACUGAGAUGAGGUUGUUCCUCCUACAAAUAAAGGAAAAGUUUCACUAAUUUAAACUGAACUAAUGAUGUAAUGAUUGGGAGUAUGUUGAAGAUCAGCUUUCAGACUUUCUCAUGUUGGUUGUUAGAGUCUUCUCUUCAGCAGAUUGUGAAACUUGCUUCCUUGUCAUUUGUGCGUCUGUUGGUUUGAGCUUGUGUAAUAAAAAAAAGAAAAGGAAA